AGGUGAACCUGCGGAGGGGUCAUUACAAGUGACCCCGGUCUAACCACCGGGAUGUUCAUAACCCUUUGUUGUCCGACUCUGUUGCCUCCGGGGCGACCCUGCCUUCGGGCGGGGGCUCCGGGUGGACACUUCAAACUCUUGCGUAACUUUGCAGUCUGAGUAAACUUAAUUAAUAAAUUAAAACUUUUAACAACGGAUCUCUUGGUUCUGG
rnacentral:misc_RNA from 1 species